rnacentral:misc_RNA from 1 species
AAGUCGUAACAAGGUCUCCGUUGGUGAACCAGCGGAGGGAUCAUUAAAAAACGGUCGAAAGACUCAAAACCUACCGUGCUCCCUACGUGGAAAAACAUCGCGAGCCCCCCGGGGCAUGAGAAAUCUGAGAAGUUGAGAACUGCGCCCCGGCGCAUGACUAAGCAAAGAAUUACAACCCAUAACAAUGGAUCUCUUGGCUCUG